rnacentral:snRNA from 1 species
UUCCUAGAUUCAGCAGGACAUACAUUAAAACAGGACGACACAAAGGUUAGCAUGCCCCUGUUUAAGGAUGAUGUGAAAAUUUGUGAAGCGUUCCUUGGGUCU